rnacentral:rRNA from 1 species
AACGAACGCUGGCGGCAGGCUUAACACAUGCAAGUCGAACGCCCCGCAAGGGGAGUGGCAGACGGGUGAGUAACGCGUGGGAACAUACCCUUUCCUGCGGAAUAGCUCUGGGAAACUGGAAUUAAUACCGCAUACGCCCUACGGGGGAAAGAUUUAUCGGGGAAGGAUUGGCCCGCGUUGGAUUAGCUAGUUGGUGGGGUAAAGGCCUACCAAGGCGACGAUCCAUAGCUGGUCUGAGAGGAUGAUCAGCCACAUUGGGACUGAGACACGGCCCAAACUCCUACGGGAGGCAGCAGUGGGGAAUAUUGGACAAUGGGCGCAAGCCUGAUCCAGCCAUGCCGCGUGAGUGAUGAAGGCCUUAGGGUUGUAAAGCUCUUUCACCGAUGAAGAUAAUGACGGUAGUCGGAGAAGAAGCCACGGCUAACUACGUGCCAGCAGCCGCAGUAAGAC